CGAUUAUCUAAUUGAUUUUGCGUUUUUCCGGAAAACAUUUCGAAUCAUGACCCUAUUCCAAUUUGUGUAGCUCGUAAAAACCGUACGCAUUCAUACAUUUCGCAUACGUGUAUAUUUCACGAACACGUUUUUUUUGGUUUUUUUUUUUCUCCAUACCGGAAUAAUCUAAUGGUAAACUUACGAUAAUCAUGUCAAAACACGAUUUAAAUUGAUAUCCGUUACACAGUAUGCGCGCACAAUACACCCACGUCAAGUACGGCCCGUGAUUUUUUACUCGGUCUACAGUAGACGUACGCGCCGUCAAUUGUCGUUGCCACAUUAUUACGCGGCAUUACACACGGGCACGUCGGCACUCAACGUGUAUGGAGUAGCGGGGCGCUGUUAAAACGCCGCCGCACAAAAUAUACUGCGGUACUCCACAUUCGUCGGGCCGUCUCUACCGUUGGUUCAGACUUGUAAUUGUUUUUGUUUUUUCGCCGCCGCACAAAAUAUACUGCGGUACUCCACAUUCGUCGGGCCGUCUCUACCGUUGGUUCAGACUUGUAAUUGUUUUUGUUUUUUUUUUUUUUUUUUUUAUUAACAGAUACCGAAAUUAACGUACAAUAUAUCUGCGUAUUUUAUCGAGAUUUUAUUUCAUUGAUAAUGUCGGUAAUGUCGAUAUCCAAUAUCGCACCGUCGCAGUUACGGAUGUCGAUGUAGACUAAUCUAAACAAAGGUGUCGGUUACCCCUCUGUGUUUACCGGGAAGUGUCAACCCGGUAAAAAUCACUGGCAAUACGCGCUGCCGUGCACCGUAAGGUACGUUUAUGAAGUAUACCUAUACACACAUGCCCACCCGUGAAUGCGUAAUUCAACGAGCUUUUUUUUUUUUAACAAUUUAACAGUUUUUUAACGACAUAUAUAUUUGCAAAUAACGCGAGAAACACGAAUGGAGCCGGCGCGGCCUGUGGCCGUUUAAUCGCGCGACCCGGCUGACUCAUUUUAGGACGUUUUUUCGUGCAGCCGGCCGUACAAGUGUGGUCUCCUGCAUUCUCGUACUAGUCUCCACGGUACUAACGUAUAAAUCACAACACACGCGUGAUAUUAUCGUUUUUCGAAAAUUUGAUCGAUGCACAAAAUGAUAUUGUCCUUCAUUUAGGAAAAAAAAUUCGUUCCAGGCAUGUAAAAUAUUAUCAGGACAGAAUGAAAGGUGCGUUUGGUUGUACAGCUCUUCAGUUUAUUUAAGUGCAGCAGAUACAUUACAAUAUUCAAUAUUGUUUUAUUGGUUUUAUUUUGCUGAACAGAACAGGCCGUGGCCCAGAGUACCAGAAGUACAACAUAUUUACAUAUAUUGUGCGGAAAGUUUAAAUUUAAGUAAUUCUAAGAAUUGUGAUGCAACAGUUAAAUUUUGCCGAAUUGUUAAUAAUGUUUUAGAUUUUUUAAAUAUGAGG